UACGGAGGGAGCUAGCGUUGUUCGGAAUUACUGGGCGUAAAGCGCGCGUAGGCGGCUUUGUAAGUCAGAGGUGAAAUCCCGGAGCUCAACUCCGGAACUGCCUUUGAGACUGCAUCGCUUGAAUCCGGGAGAGGUGAGUGGAAUUCCGAGUGUAGAGGUGAAAUUCGUAGAUAUUCGGAAGAACACCAGUGGCGAAGGCGGCUCACUGGACCGGUAUUGACGCUUAUGUGCGAAAGCGUGGGGAGCAAACAGG
rnacentral:rRNA from 1 species